rnacentral:lncRNA from 7 species
GACCGACGUCGCCGCGCAGGCUCUGGCCCCGAGCCUGCCACGCCGCGCGCCGCGACUUGCCCCGUUCCCCGCCGCCGCGCGCCUCCCGCAGCUCCGGACGGCGUCGCGGCCCCAUGGCUUGAUGUGUGGCUGGGGGCGACCGCGACGACUUCGCGCGCUAAAGCCGUCCUUGCCUCGAAGCUGCUAGCCUGCUACUGUACGGCUGUACCUCUCUUGUAUAAUUUGUAUUGUUUUUCAUUGGUCCUUGGACAUUUUUAUAAUUACGUAUGAGUUUAUAUUAAUGCUAGAGCUUUUUUUAAAAUAAGGCUCCGUUUCAAUCUCAUGGGAUAAACUUUAGCUUCCUCCUAAACUUUAGCUAUAUGAAUUGAAGUGCUAAAGUUUAGCUUCAAUUACCACUAUUAGCUCUCCUGUUUAGAUUACAAAUGGCUAAAAGUAGCUAAAAAGAAGCUGCUAAAGUUUAUCUCGCGAGAUUGGAACAGGGCCUAAGUCUAUGAGACCAUAAUUUCACGGUGUCGAGCUGCUUCAUGAUAAUAUGGUUUAGGUAGAGCUGGUGAUCUAGAUGUUUUUUUAGAACUAAAGCUCUUCUAAACAUCCAUGUCUCUACCCAUCUGGCCAUCUCAGUCUCUUCGUCUAUUCUUCUGUAUUAAAAUACCUUAAAUAAAAAUAAGUGCUACAUGAGGAUCUUCGUAC